GACGAACGCUGGCGGCGUGCCUAACACAUGCAAGUCAACUUGACUGAAGGAGCAAUCUGACAGUAGAGUGGCGCAAGGGUGCGUAACGCGUAAGUAACUUGCCCAAGGUAAGGAAUAACGUCGAGAAAUCGGCGCUAAUACCUCAUAAUGCAGCGGAUCCGCAUGGAUAUGUUGUUAAAGGUUUACCGCCUUGGGAUAGGCUUGCGUCUGAUUAGCUAGUUGGUGUGGUAACGGCACACCAAGGCUACGAUCAGUAACUGGUCUGAGAGGAUGAUCAGUCACACUGGAACUGAGACACGGUCCAGACUCCUACGGGAGGCAGCAGUGAGGAAUAUUGGGCAAUGCUCGAAAGAGUGACCCAGCAACGCCGCGUGGAGGAUGA
rnacentral:rRNA from 1 species